GUGUAAAACUUGAGAAAAAAAGGUUAAAUUACUAUUAUUUCUGCACAUUUUUAAUCAGGUUUCGAAUCAAUUGAUUAUCGAAAUACCCGACAUAUAGUUAUGACGUUUUCAUAAUGUAUAUAUCUACAGUAAUAAUGAACCUGAAAUCAACUUAUGGGUUGCAGUUUUAAAUAUACCAAAAGAUACCAAUGCAUAAAUUUAGUUGUGCUACAUUUAUAUACAAUCAAUUUAAACUAGCAAAUUCUAAAUAGAAUACAGUCAUGAGAGUGGAUAAAGUUCAUAUAAGUUACAUAUAUAGGGAAAUACCAAAAAGAGUUUGAAUGAUUCAUAUGGUGCAACGAGAAAAGCUUCAUACAUAUCUGGUUAACACCGCAAUAUAGCUAACUUUUUGAAAUGUUUUCAUAUAUGUAACUAGAAU
rnacentral:lncRNA from 1 species